GUUGUUACUGUCAAAUGCUGUUACCGUGUUCGGUUGUUGUCAAGAUUUUUAUUUAUUUCUUUGAUAUAAAGUGUUCUGUAGAAUGUCUAAAGUGAUAAAAAGUGGUGGCCGAGAAAUGAUACUGCAAGUAAUGGCGUUUUCUGAACCAGAACAGCAAAAUCAAGGACUUUUGAUACCAUUAGACAAUGUGUAUCUGAGAAAACCGUAUCAAGAAUAAUACAAGAAGGAAAGACUGCUGCAAGUACUUCAAAAAAGAUUAUCACACCAGGGAAGAGUCGUCCACGACAAAAUAAGAUAAUUAUAGAUGAUUUUGAUAUUUGUGCUAUUCGCCAUAAAAUUCACCAAUUUUAUGCUGUAAAAAAGGAACUGCUGACAUUAAGCAAAUUACUUGCAGUGUUAAAACAAGACAUUAAUUUUAAAGGAAAUCGUUAAGAAGACAUUGCAUAGAAUAUUGAAAAAAAUAUGGAUUUAAAUACAAACGGUGCCAGUCCAAAAGAAAAAUAUUAAUGGAGCGCUCUGACAUAAUUGUUUGGUGCGCUAAAUAUAUAGAAAAAAUGCGCAAGAAUCGAACCACCGAAAAAAGACCCGUCGUAUUCGUAGAUGAGACAUAUAUCCACAGCACAUACCAUUCUAAAAGUUGUUGGCAAAGUGAGGAAGAGCCAAGACUUUUCACUUCAGAUUCUGUUGGGAGUAGAUGGAUAAUCGCACAUGCUGGUACAGAAAAUGGUUUUAUUAGUAAUGCUUUAUUUAUUUUUAAAUCUCAAUCAAAGUCUUCUGAUUACCAUGAUGACAUGAAUUCAGCCAAUUUCCUCAAGUGGAUGAAUGAAAAAUUAAUUCCAAAUUUGCCAACAAGGUCUCUUGUGGUUAUGGAUAAUGCUCCAUACCACUGUACCCAAAUAAAUGAAGCUCCAACCAUGUCAACUUUAAAAGACGAAAUGCUUAAUUGGUUGCGAGAAAGGGGUAUUUAUUUUGAAGAGAGCAGGAUAAAACCCGUAUUAUAUAACCUUAUAAAACAAAAUAAAGGACCGCCUACUUAUGCUGUAAAUGAACUUUUAAAAAGUCACAAUCACGAAGUUUUAAAACUUCUACCGUAUCAUUGCGAUCUAAACCCAAUUGAAAAAAUAUGGAGCCUUGUUCAAAGACGUGUGGCAGAGAAAAAUUUGGAACAAAACCCAAAAAACAGUGUGAAACUUACAGAAGAUGCGCUUGCAAGUGUAACACCAGAAGAUUGGGCUAUUCAAUGAAAGCAUGUGGAGCAUCUAGAAGAUGAAUAUUUUAAAAACGACGGUCUGAUAGACGAAGAAAUGGACUGAUUUAUAAUAUUUGCAGCAAGUGAUAGCGAAACAGAAUCUGAUAAUGAUAGUGAUAUGAAUGUAGAUGAUCCGAAUAGUCCUUGCAGUAUGUCUGGAAUAACCCCAAUAGAUGACCAUAAUUGUACAAUUAAAAUUUAAAAUGUUUUUUCUUUAUUUAGUACCAUAGCGCUUGGAAAUAUAAUAUUAGUAUAGAUAUAAAUAGGUUAGGACGAUAUAAAAAAAAUAUAAUUUUUAUUGUGUUUAAA